CAUCGAGUGCUCCAUCAAGUAUAGUGGAUGCUCGGUUCAAUGGCAGUUUAUACAAUAGUGAAUACACACAGCCCGGACCCUCAAAUAUUUCUAUGCAGAUUCCUACAGAAAAUAAAGCAUUAGAAGAACAAACCAACAAGCCACGACCACAAAAAAGGAGUAUUUCACAACAGCUUCAUGUAGUCGAUCAUGAUUAUUUAGUCACACCAAGAACUAAAAGGCAAAAGGUUACUCCCACAAAUGAAAUCUAUUAUCAAGAGACAAUAAAUCUAUUAAAAAGUAUCGACAGUCAUUUAGAAACCCUAAAUCAUACCCUAAAUGAAAAAUUAGGCGAUAUAACAGAGGCCAUCAGACAGAGACACUCUUAAAGGAACUUUCACUUUUUAGGGAUGAUAUUCGACCUAACUUUACUCUUCUGACUUUAGUUUUAGGUAUUUUUAGAAUUUUUCUUUUUCUAGUUGUAGUGACAAUGACAUCUUGUGUUCCUUUCUUAAUAAAAGCAAACUAUUACUGGUUAUUUUUUUAGCUUUAGAAUAUUUUUUUUAUUUAGAAUGUUGUUUUUGUUUUUACGUUUCUAGCCGCAAUAACAUGUGUUCCUAUAGAGUUAAGGUAAAGUAUUAAUGUGUAUUUUUUCUGCUACAGAAUAUAAAUAAAUCAUAUUUGUUUUUGUA